rnacentral:lncRNA from 1 species
AUGAAUAAUUAUCCCCUCUCCAGGGGACAUUCUGGAGCCAAGUUCCUGAGGCGGUGGAAGGGCGAGCCACCUGAGCUGAGGAAUUACCUUUACACCCGAGGAGGACAGAAGCUGACAUCUGUGUACCGGAGGGAUACCACCGCGUCCUCUGCCCAGCAAGUAGCGCAUGGAGACGGUCUGCAUGUCACUGAGGUCAAGAAAACAGGCUUGGGGAUGCAAAUACCUCCGGAAGGAUGUGGCCACACCACACGAUGCUCCCCAGACCACGGGUGCCCCAAGGGACAUUUCUUCCCAGCUCCCAGGGCUAUGGAUGGGCAUGACUCGACCUGGUCAGCAGAGAGCAAGGAGACCUCCUGGCUGAGAAGGAGAACUGCAGGUCUGGUUCCGUCACCUCAGAGAAACAUGAACUUCUCUGUCUCUCGUGACUCUCCAAAGCUCCACUGA